rnacentral:rRNA from 1 species
UACGUAGGGUGCAAGCGUUGUCCGGAAUUAUUGGGCGUAAAGAGCUCGUAGGCGGUCUGUCACGUCGGCUGUGAAAUCCCGAGGCUCAACCUCGGGUCUGCAGUCGAUACGGGCAGACUAGAGUUCGGUAGGGGAGACUGGAAUUCCUGGUGUAGCGGUGAAAUGCGCAGAUAUCAGGAGGAACACCGGUGGCGAAGGCGGGUCUCUGGGCCGAUACUGACGCUGAGGAGCGAAAGCGUGGGGAGCGAACAGG